rnacentral:rRNA from 1 species
AUACGGAGGAUCCGAGCGUUAUCCGGAUUUAUUGGGUUUAAAGGGUGCGCAGGCGGCCAUUUAAGUCAGCGGUUAAAUCGUGGGGCUCAACCCCAUUCUGCCGUUGAUACUGGGUGGCUUGAUUGCGGUCGAGGUUGGCGGAAUUCGUUGUGUAGCGGGGGAAUGCAUAGAUAUGACGAAGAACACCGAUUGCGUAGGCAGCUGACCAGACCGCAAAUGACGCUCAUGCACGAAAGUGCGGGGAUCGAACAGGAUUAGAUACCCUGGUAGUCCGCACAGUAAACGAUGAAUACUUGUUUUCGGCGAUAUAAUGUCGGAGGCAAAGCGAAAGCGAUAAGUAUUCCACCUGGGGAGUACGCCGGCAACGGUGAAACUCAAAUGAAUUGACGGGG